GACGAAACAGUGAUGUGGAGUAAAACUUAGAAAAGCGACCUCAGUUCGGAUUGAAGGCUGAAAUUCGCCUUCAUGAAGUCGGAAUUGCUAGUAAUGGCAGGUCAGCAUACUGCCGUGAAUACGUUCCCGGGCCUUGUACACACCGCCCGUCACACCAUGAGAGUUGGAGAUACCCGAAGCCUAUGAGCUAACUUUUAGAGGCAGUAGUCGAAGGUAGAAUCAAUGAUUGGGGUGAAGUCGUAACAAGGUACC
rnacentral:rRNA from 1 species